GCAGGGUACGGAGAUGGCAUUCCUCCCCAAACCGCCCUGACCGGCUGAUGAUGCCUGCACACGU
rnacentral:ncRNA from 2 species